rnacentral:rRNA from 1 species
CAGUCGCCGCGGGAACACGAACCGUGCGAACGUUAUUCGGAAUCACUGGGCUUAAAGCGCGUGUAGGCGGGAGGGCACGUCCGUCGCUGAAAUCCCCCGGCUCAACCGGGGAACGGGCGCGGAUACGACUCUUCUGGAGGAACGUAGGGGGACCUGGAACUUCCGGUGGAGCGGUGAAAUGCGUUGAGAUCGGAAGGAACGCCCGUGGCGAAAGCGAGGUCCUGGACGUUUACUGACGCUGAGACGCGAAAGCCAGGGGAGCGAACGGGAUUAGAUACCCCCGUAGUCCCUGUCUCUUAUA